CAAUAGCGUAUAUUAAAGUUGUUGCAGUUAAAAAGCUCGUAGUUGGAUUUCUGGCAGGAGCGACCGGUCGCGCACUCUGUGCGUGAACUUGUGUUGUCUCUGGCCAUCCUCGGGGAGAUCCUGUUUGGCAUUAAGUUGUCGGGCAGGGGAUACCCGUCGUUUACUGUGAAAAAUUAGAGUGUUUAAAGCAGGCUUAUGCCGUUGAAUAUAUUAGCAUGGAAUAAUAAGAUAGGACUUCGGAACUAUUUUGUUGGUUUGCGUUACGAAGUAAUGAUUAAUAGGGACAGUUGGGGGUAUUCGUAUUUCAUUGUCAGAGGUGAAAUUCUUAGAUUUACGAAAGACAAACUACUGCGAAAGCAUUUACCAAGGAUGUUUUCAUUGAUCAAGAACGAAAGUAUGGGGAUCGAAGAUGAUUAGAUACCGU
rnacentral:rRNA from 1 species